AACAUUUAUACACUAGAGGGUGUAGCAUCCACCAUUGAACCUUCUUUUAAACAUAAUUGGCAGAAGACGAAAGGAAAAGACCUCCCGAAAGCUGCUGAACGUC